rnacentral:rRNA from 1 species
UACGUAGGGGGCUAGCGUUGUCCGGAUUUAUUGGGCGUAAAGAGCGUGUAGGCGGCCAGGUAGGUCCGGUGUGAAAACUCGAGGCUUAACCUCGAGAUGUCAUCGGAAACCAUCUGGCUAGAGUCCGGAAGAGGAGAGUGGAAUUCCUGGUGUAGCGGUGAAAUGCGCAGAUAUCGGGAGGAACACCAGUGGCGAAGGCGGCACUCUGGGCCAGUAUUGACGCUGAGGAGCGAAAGCGUGGGGAGCGAACAGG